CCUACGGGGGGCAGCAGUGAGGAAUAUUGGUCAAUGGUCGGGAGACUGAACCAGCCAAGCCGCGUGAGGGAUGAAGGUACAGAGUAUCGUAAACCUCUUUUGUCAGGGAACAAAGGCGGGGACGUGUCCCCGGAUGAGUGUACCUGAAGAAAAAGCAUCGGCUAACUCCGUGCCAGCAGCCGCGGUAAUACGGGGGAUGCGAGCGGUAUCCGGAUUUAUUGGGUUUAAAGGGUGCGCAGGCGGUCUGUUAAGUCAGCGGUAAAAGCCCGGGGCUCAACCCCGGCCCGCCGUUGAAACUGGCAGUCUCGAGUGGGAGAGAAGUAUGCGGAAUGCGCGGUGUAGCGGUGAAAUGCAUAGAUAUCGCGCAGAACUCCGAUUGCGAAGGCAGCAUGCCGGCUCCACACUGACGCUGAGGCACGAAAGCGUGGGUAUCGAACAGGAUUAGAUACCCGGGUAGUC
rnacentral:rRNA from 1 species